rnacentral:rRNA from 1 species
GGUUCUUCAGCGGUGCUUUUG